UACGAAGGGGGGCUAGCGUUGUUCGGAAUCACUGGGCGUAAAGGGCGCGUAGGCGGCCGAUCAAGUCGGGGGUGAAAGCCUGUGGCUCAACCACAGAAUUGCCUUCGAUACUGGUUGGCUUGAGACCGGAAGAGGUAAGUGGAACUGCGAGUGUAGAGGUGAAAUUCGUAGAUAUUCGCAAGAACACCAGUGGCGAAGGCGGCUUACUGGUCCGGUUCUGACGCUGAGGCGCGAAAAGCGUGGGGGAGCAAACAGG
rnacentral:rRNA from 1 species